AUUACGUAGAAUAUACAUUAACGUUACUCAAAUUGACUGGCCAUCUCGGCGAAAAAUGUGAUUUGACAUUUGUUCAGAAGAGCUGAGCACCUAUCAGAUCCUCUGCUGUCCUUCACCCCUUGGUGCAGUCUGCUGACCAUCGCUGGGGCCAGGAAAAAGUCUGUCAACCGAAGUAGGAGCCAAGUGUAUCACCAUGCAACACUCUACCGAGGUUCCGGGUGAUCUCCCAUCUUCUUCAUAGUGGCCUCGGCUGGACUCCACUGGUCAGCUGGAAACCCACCGCAUAACCUCUAUCCAGGUGAAUCAAGAGCUUCACCAGAGACGGAAGAGGAAGCGAGACAUCCUGGCCUUCCUACGUCACCGCCUUAUCUGCUUGUUGCCCUAGCACAGUGUUUCCCUACUCCAGUCCUCCAUCAGUAUACAUUUUUAUUGUAGCCCCAGACAAGCACAUCUGAUUCAACUUGUAAACUAAUCAUCAAGCCUUUGAGUUGAAUGAGGUGUGUUUGUCUGGGGGCUACAAUGAAAAUGUGUGCGGUUAGGGGUACUUGAAGACCGGAGUUGGUAAACAUUGAGGGAGUUCUAUUAACCUGAGCCACAGUGCACUGGUCUAUGACCCAUGGCGUGAAAGGGACAAAUCUGUGAGGGAGGAGUGCCCUUCUCAAAUCUAACAGUAAUUUGUGCCACUCUCAUGUUGUCGACAAGGCAGCAUGGUGCAUCUUUCAGAAAUAUUUUUUCCCUUAAAAUGUUAGAAUUUUCAAACUAGUUUUCAUUGUGAUUGCAGAUAAUGCGUUUUUAUCAAAAGCAAUCACUUUCACAUGUGAAAACACGGACCUACUCAUUACUCCAUGUGCUUAGUCUAGCCUACAGUAGGCAAUCUCUUUUAACCCGCUGCAAACUGCUCCCAGUGGGGAAACCCGGGCCAAUAAUCAAAUUCCUGCUCACAUUUUAAGCCCUAACAGAGGUGCUCGACCCUAAACACAUGUGGACUGACUACAGGUUAUAAAGAAGCAGAGGGCAUGAACUGCAAGGCGAAAGACAGACCAUAGUUAAAGGGAUACUUUGGGAUUUUGGCAAUGUGGCCUUUUAUGUACUUCCCCAGAGUCAGAUGAACUCAGCUGUUCAAAUAAUCCAUAAUGUAAAAAUAAGGGAAUUUUAUAUUAUUUUCAACAUAUCAUUCAUUUAUUUCAAAAGUGACAGUAGGUUUGCUGGGAUUGUGGCUGUGCAGAGACCACAGACAGUAGUAGCCUAAUGGAACAUAACAGGCUGCAUGGGAACGUGUUCAUGACUCAGCUUCUUGGUCGGCUACAAAUCAACCUUGCCAGGGAACAAUGGCAGCUUUUCAGUUGAUUUCAAUAUUUUUAAGAACUCUAAAUCAUCCAAAGGAAGAAAGAACAUGUCGAUAUCAUCUUGGAGGAAUCAAUUUAGUCCAAUAUAACGUAGACCUAGUCCAUUGCAAUGUGCACAAACCAUGUAUGGGAGAAGAAGAAAAAAAUAUCAUCUCAACAAUUCCUUCCCUCUUGACUUCCUCUU